CAGUUGGAGGAAACGUUAUGGUGGAUUGGUAAUACUUAGGCUGAACAAAAAUACAAAGUAAAAAGGCUAGCUAUUUUCCUUAUCCAGUACUUAUCGAGGUCACUUUAACCUUUCUUCUCUUUGUACUUUCUUUAUAUUAGAUAAAUGUGAAUGUUAAAUGGACUCAAUUAACGUACUUGAAUAGUAACUUGGGAUUGAGUGCCAAAUAACACCCUAUCCCCUACAUGGUGUUCAACCUUUCACCAGGAGCCGACAAGACCUCGAUCAGGGCCCAUAGGGCUCUGGUCAAAAGUAGUGCACUAUAUAGGGGAUAAGGUGCAAUCUAGGACUCACCCGUGGUCUUUUCCGUGUCCUUUCGCCCCCCAGUACUCCAGUGAGAGCUCUGCUAGAGUUUCUAGUGCCUUCCAUUAUUUAUUUUGCUUAUUUUUUUUAACCGUUUUUUGACCUGAUGGAGUAACGGAAGUGCUGUUGAUUUCUGCUACAUUGAAGUGCUUUACUGGCUCUGUGGGUACAAAAGUCAAAGGUACACUGGGAAGGGGAGACGGGGGAAGGUGGGCUGUGGGGUUUUUGUUUCUUUGUGCCAUUUAUUGUUUUAGUAUUGGGGGUUAAAUACAUUUUGAUUUGGGGGUCGGAAGACUAACUUAGUCCUAGACUCUGCAGAGAGUAGGAAUGGAUCUGAUGGUGAAGCUUGGACAAACUCUGUAUUUGAAACAGACAAAGGAACGCAGACAACAGAACAACAGAGUGAGGCUGAACCAGGGUUACCUAACAUUUAAAAUAAAGGGUCUGUUAGGAACGGAAUGCUUGACUGUUCCGUUUGUUCUAGUGUUCGGGGGACACGUUUCAGAUACUAGAACCAUUCAUUCAGUAUGCAAGAGCUCUCUAGCUAACACUGAGCCUAUCAUUAGACCCACUACAACAAUCAGACUAUCUUUACUGAUGGCCUGUCCACGAAGCCUUGAGUGUGUCCGACACCAAGCAGCACGGUAUACAAGCCUCGUGUUGGUGGUGAAAGAGAGGGGAGGAAGUGGGAGACUGAUAGGAAUAGAGAAGAGAAAGUCAGUCAGUGAGAAACGAUAUUUGUGUGAAUGUCUCAAGAGUUAAAACCAGAUUGUGGUGUUUUAUAGUUUACUAACCAGGCAUAAUGUGUGUCUACUAUCAGUGGGGCAGUCUUAGGCUGUGUGUCCCCCAAAUGACACCCUAUUCCCUAUAUAGUGCACUACUUUUGACCAACGUCCUAUGGACCCUGGUCAAUAGUAAUGCACCGAAUAGGGAAUAGGGCGUCAUUUUGGACGUAGUCUUUACAGUAGUAGUUGUGACUGGGCACUAUGCCAUUUAAGGUGGGUAAAGUGAAAGUGGAGUUGAGGUAGAAGCCAGGGCUAGUGGAGACAGAAGAGGAGAGGUCAGGGGACUCUCUAUCUCCAACACAUGGCAGUAGUACUGUGCUACUGGGUUGAGGUAGAAGCCAGGGCUAGUGGAGGCAGAAGAGGAGAGGUCAGGGGACUCUCUAUCUCCAACACAUGGCAGUAGUACUGUACACUGUGCUGCUGGGUUGAGGUAGAAGCCAGGGCUAGUGGAGGCAGAAGAGGAGAGGUCAGGGGAUUCUCUCUAUCUCCAACACAUGGCAGUAGUACUGUACACUGUGCUGCUGGGUUUGACCAACAAGUGACUUCCUCAUCACCAAUGCUGGUUGUUCAAGCCCAGUUAUUUCAUCAUCUGCUUAAUGCUGCCCCAGUCUCUUUAAUGAAACCACCUGUGGCUUUUAGUGCAGGUUUGUAGCUUGUUCUAAAGUAGCAGACAGUCUCACCGCUCACAAUGCAGACAAAUAAAUGGUUGGUUCCAUCAUGAUUAGAUUUCUUUGACGUGAAUGUUUUAGUUUUUUGGUUGAUGUCCUUCUGGGUUUUUUGGAAACCUUACAAGAUGUUGUAAUGAUAGAUGAACAGUGUCCGUAUCUUUCUCGUUACCUGACAGUGUUGUAGACAGUAAAACUGGUCCAAUCUGUGUACAACAGAAUAGUUCAUUAAGCCCCAUGUCCUUUUCAAAGCGACUGUACAAAACCAUUACCUGGGGUCAAACAUGUUUAAAACCGUAGAAAAGUCAUUUUUAAUAAACACUCGUCACCUUAACUACUGAUUAGCUUACAGGGACUGCUAGAUCUAUCGCCUUCUGCUUAGCGCUUCAGUCGUCUCUCCUCACUGUAAACAUGUCUGCUACGGCAAAUCACUUGAAAACACAUGGUAGAUUCUCAAUCAUUUGUCUUUACAGAGUGACUAUGUUGUAUCCUGGAUAUUUAAAACCGUUAAAAACAGUUGGGGUUUUCUAAAACGUUUUGUGGAUUGAACUUUUUGUACUUACUGGAGGCCCUCAGUACAGCAGUACAGUACUUACUGGAGGCCCUCAGUACAGCAGUACAGUACUUACUGGAGGCCCUCAGUACAGCAGUACAGUACUUACUGGAGGCCCUCAGUACAGCAGUACAGUACUUACUGGAGGCCCUCAGUAGAGCAGUACAGUACUUACUGGAGGCCCUCAGUACAGUACUUACUAGAGGCCCUCAGUACAGCAGUACGGUACUUACUGGAGGCCCUCAGUACAGCAGUACGGUACUUACUGGAGGCCCUCAGUACAGCAGUACAGUACUUACUGGAGGCCCUCAGUACAGCAGUACAGUACUUACUGGAGGCCCUCAGUACUUAGCAAGUUUGGUUGAAGCUGUGAACGUGACAAAAAAUACUAUUUUCUUAGUUAUUUUGUUGAUGAUCGAUACUUUUGAAAAACAAAAACAAAUAAGACCUUUACAAUGCCACUGCCUCAGUGCCAUUACCAUGCAGUAAUGACUUUAGCUUCAAUCUGCUCUAUCUAAAGAAUACGGAGCAAUAUUUACAAUGUUUACUUCCUCUUAACUAAGUGUCAUACUGUAUGAUACAGUGGCUGCAAUGCAUAACAUGCAAUGGUGAACAGGUUAUGGUGAGCUUACAAUGGUGAACAGGUUAUGGUGAGGUUACAGUAGUGAACAGGUUAUGGUGAGCUUACAAUGGUGAACAGGUUAUGGUGAGGUUACAGUAGUGAACAGGUUAUGGUGAACAGGUUAUGGUGAGGUUACAGUAGUGAACAGGUUAUGGUGAACAGGUUAUGGUGAGGUUACAGUAGUGAACAGGUUAUGGUGAGGUUAGUGGUGAACAGGUUAUGGUGAGGUUACAAUGGUGAACAGGUUAUGGUGAGGUUACAGUAGUGAACAGGUUAUGGUGAGGUUACAGUAGUGAACAGGUUAUGGUGAGGUUAGUGGUGAACAGGUUAUGGUGAGGUUACAGUAGUGAACAGGUUAUGGUGAGAUUACAGUGGUGAACAGGUUAUGGUGAGGUUACAGUGGUGAAACUGAAGACCUCCUCUGAUGAGCAUAUUUACAGUAGCUCUGGUCCAGCUCUGUGCUCCAACGAUCGUCGUCGUGAGAGAGUAGCUGAACCACGCCCUGGACCAGAGCUACAUUUCCAUAGUUACAGAGGGAAGUUACUGAAUUUACAAAGCGUAAUAAUAUUCAUUUUUACCAUCCAUUCAGAAUCCCGAUGGAUUCUGCUACCUGUUCUGUUCCUUGUUACUGUUACGUCACACCUCCUCCUUCGCCUUUCUGUAACUGAUGUCCUGCAAAGUGCACAUAACAUGUUGGAAUGUCAUGCAAUUCAGCGUUGGUCAGACUGACACAGAAGUGGUUGAAUAAAGAGCAUGCUUGUUUCUCUAGCUACCAUCUGACAUGUUACCUUUUCAUCACAGCUUGUUAUACUGUAAAGUUAUGACCACAAAACGACUCCAAACGUGUACACAGCCACCCUCACAAAAACAAAACAUUUCAAGUUGAUUUAAAGUGUUUUGUUCUACUUAUCAGAAUUUUUUUUUUUUUUUUUUUGCAAUUUUAUGUCUCAAGAAACAUCUAGUGACUUAAUUCAAUGGUUUUUCCUCGUGCUGUUUAACAUUGUACAAAAAUGUUUUAAACUAAUAGUAAAAUGGAAAACCAAACGGAACCUGUUAGGAGUCAUUGGCAGCGUUUAACUGUUCUGCAUUAAGUAGAGGCUGUUCAAGCUUCAAAUAAAACUGCGCUUUGCGCUCCAAUAAAAUAUAUUUGUUACUUUAUUUGUAAACUUAAUAAAUAAAAGUAAUUUAAAUUAA